UACGUAGGGUGCAAGCGUUAAUCGGAAUUACUGGGCGUAAAGCGUGCGCAGGCGGUUGUGCAAGACAGAGGUGAAAUCCCCCGGGCUUAACCUGGGAAUGGCCUUUGUGACUGCACGGCUAGAGUGUGUCAGAGGGGGGUAGAAUUCCACGUGUAGCAGUGAAAUGCGUAGAGAUGUGGAGGAAUACCGAUGGCGAAGGCAGCCCCCUG
rnacentral:rRNA from 1 species